CGACGGUGAGUAACACGUAUCCAACCUGCCGUCUACUCUUGGACAGCCUUCUGAAAGGAAGAUUAAUACAAGAUGGCAUCAUGAGUUCACAUGUUCACAUGAUUAAAGGUAUUCCGGUAGACGAUGGGGAUGCGUUCCAUUAGAUAGUAGGCGGGGUAACGGCCCACCUAGUCUUCGAUGGAUAGGGGUUCUGAGAGGAAGGUCCCCCACAUUGGAACUGAGACACGGUCCAA
rnacentral:rRNA from 1 species